rnacentral:snRNA from 1 species
AACUUUGCGCAGAGGCGGUACCAUAGCCAAUGAGGGUUAUCCGAGGCAUGGUUAUUGCUAGUUGAGAACUUGCUCAG